AAUUUUCAAACUACAAACAAGAAAGACAGACAAUAAUUCCCUUUGGAAACCAUGGAAACAAAAGGCUGUGGUGCUCAAGGGUUGUUGGCUGCUUUUCACUAUGAAAAAGAGGUUGGGCUGGGCAUCGUGGCUCACGGCUGUAAUCCCAGCACUUUGAGAGGCUGAGGCAGCUAGAUCACAAGGCACAGAAAAUGGAAGCAUGAUUCUUAGCAGAGUUCACCAGACUGCCAAAAAGGAUCAUGGCACGAAAAAUGAUGAGAAUCUCUGCUUUAAUAACUAGCUGAAAGAAUCAGAACCACCUCUCCUAAAUAUCUUUGGCUGGAACAUGCAUGUAAUGGUGAUAAAGCUUCCUCUCUAGAGACAAGGACUAUGCAUAGUGGCAGAUGGAACAACAAAACAGAAUUUGCCUCCCUGGAUGACCCCUUAAAGCAGAAGUGCCUGGUUAGUCCUGUGCUAUCAUGGGAGAGAUGUGAGAAUUGAGACCAUCUCUGUCAAUAUGCUGAGACAAUACCUGUAGACUGCUGGUUCAGCAUCACUUAUUUAUUUGACCCAGGAAAAGAUAGAAAAUCAUCAACAUCAAUACAUUGGUGACAACAGACUGCUUACCAG